rnacentral:tRNA from 1 species
GCCGGGAUAUCUCAGUUGGUAGAACA